GUAUUUAUCUCUGCAAUUUUUUGGUAGGACACGACACUGCUGGUUUUGUCGUGCUCCGCAUUGUCCAGUUACGCUUAUGCAUAGGUUUAUUUAUGGUAUUCUAUUGGAUAUGCAUAUGCUGAUGUACAAUAGGAAUGUCUCCAUGUUGUGCCAUGUUUUUUAUGCACAUAGAAUAUCUGUAUGUCUUAUUAUAGCCUCUAAUUAAAAGUUACUGAUUCACUAGGAAAAUCCACUGAAGGAAUCGGCCCCCUUUCUCUAGGAGCCCAUUUCCAGUGGUCAUCCUACAAUGAGCCUGAAAAACAACCGCACAUAUCAUGACUCCAAGAUGAUAUAUCCUGACCUGGACGUUGCAUAAGAAAAAGGAAAUGUAACCACCUUUUUUUUCUUAGCUUAUGAGAGAAGAUAGUUAUAGUAGUAGCAUUCAGGUUUCAUCAAUGUGGAGUCAAAAAAAGCAGUCACAAGCACAUGACGACCCUACAUCAUAUUUCCACCAUUUUCUAAGUAAGAAAACAAUUUUCUACUAUUUUAUCAUUGGUUAUCGUCCGUGCAAUUUUACUAGUUUCCUUGGUCUGAAAGCCUUACCAUCAUUUUCUUCUUGCACGCGGUAAUGGCAAGAGCAUAUUGUGUAGAGGAAGAGGAUGAGUAGAAACUUGUGGUGCUCAUCCAAUCUUCAUGGAACUCUCUUUAUGUGUGAUUGUGCACUUGUUGGGUCCUUUUUUCGUGCGCUUGCACUUGUAGAAGUAUUCUGUUGUGUACAUGUAAAAUUAUUUUGAUGUGCCCUUGUUAGACGUUGAAACUUAAUGCAUGGAGUUGGUGGAUGAUGUAAUGUAUUUGAUGUGAUAUGCUACUGAAAUGAAAUAUACAUUUUGUUUGCAA